CCUACGGGAGGCAGCAGUGAGGAAUAUUGGUCAAUGGACGGAAGUCUGAACCAGCCAAGCCGCGUGCGGGAUGACGGCACUGUGAGUUGUAAACUGCUUUUGUACGAGAAUAAUAGUUCUGACGUGUAGGGGGUUGAGGGUAUCGGACGAAUAAGGAUCGGCUAACUCCGUGCCAGCAGCCGCGGUAAUACGGAGGAUUCGGGCGUUAUCCGGAUUUAUUGGGUUUAAAGGGUGCGUAGGCUGUCGGAUAAGUUAGCGGUAAAAUCUCGGGGCUUAACCCCGGGCCUGCCGUUGAGACUGGUCGACUAGAGAGGGGAGGAAGCAGGCGGAAUGAGUAGUGUAGCGGUGAAAUGCUUAGAUAUUACUCAGAACACCGAUUGCGAAGGCAGCGUGCCAAUCCGCAGCUGACGCUGAUGCACGAAAGCGUGGGUAGCGAACAGGAUUAGAUACCCGGGUAGUC
rnacentral:rRNA from 1 species